CCCCGUCGCAUAUGCGGGUCAUCAUAUGCACCUCCCUGUUGGACUGCCCCGGCCUGGUGCCGGGGUUUUUUU
rnacentral:ncRNA from 1 species